rnacentral:rRNA from 1 species
CCUACGGGUGGCAGCAGUGGGGAAUAUUGGACAAUGGGCGCAAGCCUGAUCCAGCCAUGCCGCGUGAGUGAUGAAGGCCUUAGGGUUGUAAAGCUCUUUUGGCAGGGACGCUGUACCUGCAGAAUAAGCCCCGGCCAACUUCGUGCCAGCAGCCGCGGUAAUACGAAGGGGGCUAGCGUUGCUCGGAAUCACUGGGCGUAAAGCGCACGUAGGCGGGUUGUUAAGUCAGGGGUGAAAUCCUGGAGCUCAACUCCAGAACUGCCUUUGAUACUGGCAAUCUUGAGUCCGGGAGAGGUGGGUGGAACUGCGAGUGUAGAGGUGAAAUUCGUAGAUAUUCGCAAGAACACCAGUGGCGAAGGCGGCUCACUGGCCCGGACUGACGCUGAGGUGCGAAAGCGUGGGGAGCAAACAGGAUUAGAUACCCUUGUAGUC